CCUACGGGAGGCAGCAGUAGGGAAUUUUCGUCAAUGGGCGCAAGCCUGAACGAGCGAUGCCGCGUGAGUGAAGAAGGCCUUCGGGUCUUAAAGCUCUGUUGCGGGGGGAAAAAAGCAGCAUCCGGAAAUGGGUGCUGACUGAUUGUGCCCCGCCAGAAAGUCACGGCUAACUACGUGCCAGCAGCCGCGGUAAUACGUCGGUGGCGAGCGGUAUCCGGAAUGAUUGGGCGUAAGGGAUGCGAAGGCGGUACUGCAAGUCUGGAGUGAAAAGCAUGAGCGCAACUCAUGCAUGGCUUUGGAAACUGGAGGACUGGAGAGCAGGAGAGGGCGGUGGAACGCCAUGUGUAGCGGUAAAAUGCGUAGAUAUAUGGAAGAACACCAGUGGCGAAGGCGGCCGCCUGGCCUGUUGCUGACGCUGAGGCACGAAAGCGUGGGGAGCAAAUAGGAUUAGAUACCCUAGUAGUC
rnacentral:rRNA from 1 species